AUUCCAGCUCCAAUAGCGUAUAUUAAAGUUGUUGCAGUUAAAAAGCUCGUAGUUGGACUUGUGCGGUACCCUCGAUGUCCAUUCGUGGUACGUUCUGGGGGUCCGCAUCCUUGGGUGGAACCUGUGUGGCAUUAGGUUGUCGUGCAGGGGAUGCUCAUCGUUUACUGUGAAGAAAUUAGAGUGUUCAAAGCAGGCUUAUGCCGUUGAAUAUAUUAGCAUGGAAUAAUAAGAUAGGACCUUGGUACUAUUUUGUUGGUUUGCGCACCGAGGUAAUGAUUAACAGGGACAGUUGGGGGUAUUCGUAUUCCAUUGUCAGAGGUGAAAUUCUUGGAUUUCUGGAAGACGAACUACUGCGAAAGCAUUUACCAAGGAUGUUUUCAUCA
rnacentral:rRNA from 1 species